AUGUUGUUCCCUGUCCGUUACAAGUUCCCACAAGAGCAGAUUCGUCAGUUUAUGAAAGUUUUAAGACCAGAUACACUAACCAACUAUCAAUUGCAAUGAUAAUGACUCAUAUUUUUACCUGCAUCUUGUUUGUGUUGAUGUGUGGUACAAGUCAUGCUGAAUUAACAGCGACAUUAACCACUGGUGCACACUCGUAUGCGGCAAAUGAGGUUAUCAAAUACAACAGAGUUCUAUGUUCUGGUAGACCUAUUGACGGUACUUACAGUAGCG